rnacentral:misc_RNA from 1 species
CAGAGUAUAAAAACUCAAACCCACUGUUAUUAGUACCUGUUGUUGCUUUGGCAGGCGGCCCCAGGGCGGGGCCUCUGCUUCGGCGCCUGCCAAAGGACACUAAAACUCUUGCUUUAUAUGUUACUCUGAGUAAAGACCAAAUCAUUA